rnacentral:rRNA from 1 species
GACGAACGCUGGCGGCGUGCCUAAUACAUGCAAGUCGAGCGAAGUUUUUCUGGUGCUUGCACUAGAAAAACUUAGCGGCGAACGGGUGAGUAACACGUAAAGAACCUGCCUCAUAGCCUGGGACAACUAUUGGAAACGAUAGCUAAUACCGGAUAACAGUAUUUCUCGCAUGAGAGAUAUUUAAAAGUUGGUUAUGCUAACACUAUGAGAUGGCUUUGCGGUGCAUUAGCUAGUUGGUGGGGUAAAGGCCCACCAAGGCGACGAUGCAUAGCCGACCUGAGAGGGUGAUCGGCCACACUGGGACUGAGACACGGCCCAGACUCCUACGGGAGGCAGCAGUAGGGAAUCUUCCGCAAUGGGCGAAAGCCUGACGGAGCAACGCCGCGUGAGUGAAGAAGGAUUUCGGUUCGUAAAGCUCUGUUGUUAGGGAAGAAUGGAUAUGUAGUAACUAUACAUGUAAGAGACGGUACCUAACCAGAAAGCCACGGCUAACUACGUG